UUCAUCGUUCGAUCAUAUUUCGGACAGUCAUUGCUAUUUGCUUGAGCCAAAUUUUGCGAUGUGGGCUCUUCCUUGUGCUAUCGUCUUCUGUCCAAAAGAUAAGGCCCUUGGGCCUGAUGGUUUCUCAGCCAGUUUCUUCAGUCGAAUUGGGACAUUGUGGGACCGGCUAUUGUCAAAGAGGUCCAAACUUUCUUCUCUUCGGGAAU
rnacentral:lncRNA from 1 species